AGAACCAGCAUCAGCCAUAGCAUCAGAGGAACGGUCUGGAAAGGCCGGCGAGAGAGGGUGACAGCCCCGUACUCGAAGAUGGCGUGGUUGUGAGUUCGAUGAGUAAGGCGGGACACGAGAAAUCCUGUCUGAAGAGGGGGGGACCAUCCUCCAAGGCUAAAUACUCCUGACUGACCGAUAGUGAACCAGUACCGUGAGGGAAAGGCGAAAAGAACCCCGGCGAGGGGAGUGAAAGAGAACCUGAAACCGUGUACGUACAAGCAGUGGGAGCC
rnacentral:rRNA from 1 species